GGGGUACUCGAGCGGCGAACGGGUGAGUAACACGUGAGUAAUCUGCCCCAGGCUCUGGGAUAGCCACCGGAAACGGUGAUUAAUACCGGAUACGACAACUUCCUGCAUGGGAUGGUUGUGGAAAGUUUUUCGGCCUGGGAUGUGCUCGCGGCCUAUCAGCUUGUUGGUGAGGUAAUGGCUCACCAAGGCUUCGACGGGUAGCCGGCCUGAGAGGGUGACCGGCCACACUGGGACUGAGACACGGCCCAGACUCCUACGGGAGGCAGCAGUGGGGAAUAUUGGACAAUGGGCGGAAGCCUGAUCCAGCAACGCCGCGUGAGGGAUGACGGCCUUCGGGUUGUAAACCUCUUUCAGCACAGACGAAGCGCAAGUGACGGUAUGUGCAGAAGAAGGACCGGCCAACUACGUGCCAGCAGCCGCGGUAAUACGUAGGGUCCGAGCGUUGUCCGGAAUUAUUGGGCGUAAAGGGCUCGUAGGCGGUCUGUCGCGUCGGGAGUGAAAACCAGGUGCUUAACACCUGGCCUGCUUUCGAUACGGGCAGACUAGAGGUACUCAGGGGAGAAUGGAAUUCCUGGUGUAGCGGUGAAAUGCGCAGAUAUCAGGAGGAACACCGGUGGCGAAGGCGGUUCUCUGGGAGUAUCCUGACGCUGAGGAGCGAAAGUGUGGGGAGCGAACAGGAUUAGAUACCCUGGUAGUCCAC
rnacentral:rRNA from 1 species